UUCGAGCCCGGACGAAUCAGAGUCAGAAUUGACGCUCCACCUGAUAGGGGUCUGUUGGGCAGUUAGAUAAAUCUCAUCUGUUUAGGGAAAUGAAAUUACGUUGAUUAUAUCUGUUAUGAGUAUGUUAGAAAGUAACAGACGGGUAGAAAAUGUCCGGAGAUUAGUAAAUUUGGUAUUAAUGAGUAUUGGUAAAAUUAAAUGGUGAGAUUUAGAUAAUUGCGAUCCCAUUUUUCUCCAAAUCUGCAUAACUGAAGACUACUUGUUCAAAUCUCAGGCUGAAAAGAAUAUUUUUUUUUAAUUUGACUUUUUUUAUAUUUUUUAUUUUUUUCUUUAUGCUGUCAAUUUUUGCAAUGUUUUUUUGUUUUUCAAUUUAAGCCAAAAUUUAUGAAUAUGGUGUGAUGAUAUGGAAAAGUUUAAAAAUGUGUAUGAGAAGCAAAAAACGUUAAAUAUGAAAUUUUCGUGUUUCUGCCUGGGGUGAAGUCGUUAAAAAUUCAUUUCUUAGCCAAUUUUCAACCGAUUUUCUUGAAAAAUUUCAAGUACAUGCCUAAAAUCAAAUUGGAAAGGAUAAUAAUUGAAAAUUGACGACGCAAGAAUGAUUGCAAUGAGAGCACCGUGAAAUAUUAUCUUCCCUCAAAACGAAAAAAAAAAAACGACUCGCCAUUGAGACUAUAGAGAGGUCCAAACGUAUUGAAAGAUAAAAGGAAAAAUUUAACUUCAUGAGUACAUUAACAAUAACCUGCAUGAAUACCAGUUCACGGCAGGUAUUUGAAAAAAUAUUUUCUGCAAGCUUCUGACGGCGAAUCGCGCUCUUAGCCAUAAAGUCCCAAAAGGUUCCAAGCUCAACAGAGGAGUUCAAAGCAACAGGCUAUGAGUUGGUAAGGAAUAUGAACCUAAUCCUCUCCAAUAUAAAGUCUGGUUUCUGUUUUAAAAAUAAAAAAAAAAUUAUUGAAUCAACAAAAAAAAUUAAAAUUUGGAACUGGAAAUGAUUCAAGGGUUGGAGUUAUUAAUCCCUUUGGCGUAGCAGGGAACUAAUUCCACUUAGAGAGUUUGAGUUAGUUCUCGCUCCGUGGGAACGAAAUAAUUUUUAGUAAACUGGAUUUAGUUCCUAUGCUAGAAGGAAUACCGGCGAUUUUAGAUUUCCAUUUUACAGAAGAGCUGCAACACAAAAUGACACUUACUAUAUUGUAACGAUGAAUUACCGAACUACUUUUAAGAUAAAAGUCUGAACACACUACCUGCUACAGUAAAGGUAGAAAUGUGAACGGACCUUUAGUAAUUAAGAAACUACCCUCUGAACGCAUCCAAAGAAAUUCCCUCGACUGCUGAAUAUCCCAAAAUAUCCCACUGGACUGGAAGUAUGAAGCGCCCCCUCUUGGAAAGGAAGCUUCGAGAAGCAAAGACGAGAACCUUCGAAGACAUUCUCGAAUUCCGAAUUUCAGGUAUAAAAGGGCAGCGUGGACACCGACCGGAUACA